UGUUUCAUAUCUGUGACGGAAUAUUAUCUAAAUAUUGAUAUUUGGAAUAUGGAAAGCCACUUUUUCCUUGAACAACUAUGAUGAAUGUGCUAAUAUUGAAAGUUUAUCGUAAAACAUGACAAUUAUUCAUGAAGCUGCUGCCAUCUCGGAUUUCAACGACAUUUACAAUAUGUUGCAGGAAUCAACAUUUUGAACAACUUUUUCCUCUGCAUGUUACCAUCAGACUCUCUAGUUUUCGAGAUGUUUAUAGAAACUGUCGGUAACACUACAGUGAAUAGUACCUAUAAUUGUGCAUGCGUUACAGCGCAUGCGUUAGCAUUGGUUGCCAGCCAUCUUACGGCGGUUGGAUAAAUUGACACCUAAUCCUAUAUAUACUUUAAAGAAACGAUAAGAAUAAGGAUUGAGUCAGGUGUCCAUUUAUCCGGCUGGCAAUCAAUAUCAACGCUUAAGCUGUCACAGACGCACAAUUGUAGGAAGCAGUCACUCCAGUGGUACCGAGAGCUUUUAACAGAUAUCUCUGAAACUGAUACUUGGCGAAAACAAGAAGGUUUUAAAGAUCGAGCGACCGAGGUCAACAACUACGCGUCAUGAUUAACGAAAACCAAAAUGAAAGUUUCAAAUAAGAAAAGCUCGAGUCGUUUGUUUCCUUGUACAAAGGAGAUUCGAAUAUUGAUAAUUUCGUAUAUGGAUUGGAUACGUAUAAAUUUACACCUCAUGUUUUUUGUCUGAUACAACCAUAUACCAUUAAUUAUGUAAAUUAACUUAUAAUAUAUACAUUGUUUUAAAUGAAGCAAUAGUCUUGGAUUAAAUUAAACCAGA
rnacentral:lncRNA from 1 species